GUGAACAAAUGUGUCAUUGCUCUCCAAGAGAAGGAUGUGGAUGGCCUGGACCGCACAGCUGGUGCAAUUCGAGGCCGGGCAGCCCGGGUCAUUCAUGUAGUCACCUCAGAGAUGGACAACUAUGAGCCAGGAGUCUACACAGAGAAGGUUCUGGAAGCCACUAAGCUGCUCUCCAACACAGUCAUGCCACGUUUUACUGAGCAAGUAGAAGCAGCUGUGGAAGCCCUCAGCUCGGACCCUGCCCAGCCCAUGGAUGAGAAUGAGUUUAUCGAUGCCUCCCGCCUGGUAUAUGAUGGCAUCCGGGACAUCAGGAAAGCAGUGCUGAUGAUAAGGACCCCUGAGGAGUUGGAUGACUCUGACUUUGAGACAGAAGAUUUCGAUGUCAGAAGCAGGACGAGCGUCCAGACAGAAGACGAUCAGCUGAUAGCUGGCCAGAGUGCCCGGGCGAUCAUGGCUCAGCUUCCCCAGGAGCAAAAAGCGAAGAUUGCGGAACAGGUGGCCAGCUUCCAGGAAGAAAAGAGCAAGCUGGAUGCUGAAGUGUCCAAAUGGGACGACAGUGGCAAUGACAUCAUUGUGCUGGCCAAGCAGAUGUGCAUGAUUAUGAUGGAGAUGACUGACUUUACCCGAGGUAAAGGACCACUCAAAAAUACAUCAGAUGUCAUCAGUGCUGCCAAGAAAAUUGCUGAGGCAGGAUCCAGGAUGGACAAGCUUGGCCGUACCAUCGCAGACCAUGUAAGUGACAGACUUGCCAGGUGGGUCUCCAAGCUCCUCCUGGGGCUCAGGCAGCCCAGCCUGGUCCAUUCAGGGUAAGUUUCAUGGGCCACAGCACUUUUGCCACCCAUCUCUAAAAAUGGUUCUUAUUAAUCCCAGC
rnacentral:sRNA from 1 species